rnacentral:rRNA from 1 species
CACACCCGUUCCCAUGUCGAACACGGAAGUUAAGCUCUUUAGCGCCGAUGGUAGUUGGAGGUUUCCUCCUGUGAGAGUAGGACAUUGCUACGC